rnacentral:rRNA from 1 species
UACGAGGGGGGCGAGCGUUGUUCGGAAUUAUUGGGCGUAAAGGGUGCGUAGGCGGUUCCGCAAGUCCUGUGUGAAAUCUACAGGCUCAACUUGUAGUCUGCAUGAGAAACUGCCGGGCUUGAGUAUGGGAGAGGUGAGUGGAAUUCCUGGUGUAGCGGUGAAAUGCGUAGAUAUCAGGAGGAACACCUGUGGCGAAAGCGGCUCACUGGACCAUAACUGACGCUGAUGCACGAAAGCUAGGGGAGCAAACAGG